ACGCCGAUGGUGAAACGGUUAUCAUGCUUGCCUUCCAUUGCCUAUUUCAUUGAAAAUUAGCAAGCGGUAGGGGUUCGACUCCCCUUCGGCGUA